rnacentral:lncRNA from 1 species
UGAAGUGUCGAAGGAACCAUACAAAUCCAAAUUUUAUGUCGGUUGUUCUUCAAUGACCAAUGACUUUGCAGUCACAAUUCAAAAAAAAAGAAUCAAAGAAAAAGCCCGCUAAGUCAAACACCUUAAAAGGAGACUUAGGCAAAAACUGGGGCAAUCCCGAUGGGUUAAAGCUUCAAACAAAGCGGUCCAUGCAAAAGUUAGGGAUCAAAAACAAAAAUCGAAAGAGACAAUGAA